rnacentral:rRNA from 1 species
AGAGUUUGAUCCUGGCUCAGAUUGAACGCUGGCGGCAUGCUUUACACAUGCAAGUCGAACGGUAACGCGGGGCAACCUGGCGACGAGUGGCGAACGGGUGAGUAAUGCAUCGGAACGUGCCCAGUAGUGGGGGAUAGCCCGGCGAAAGCCGGAUUAAUACCGCAUACGACCUACGGGUGAAAGCGGGGGACCGUAAGGCCUCGCGCUAUUGGCGCGGCCGAUGUCAGAUUAGGUAGUUGGUGGGGUAAAGGCCUACCAAGCCUACGAUCUGUAGCUGGUCUGAGAGGACGACCAGCCACACUGGGACUGAGACACGGCCCAGACUCCUACGGGAGGCAGCAGUGGGGAAUUUUGGACAAUGGGCGCAAGCCUGAUCCAGCCAUGCCGCGUGCGGGAAGAAGGCCUUCGGGUUGUAAACCGCUUUUGUCAGGGAAGAAAUCCUUUGGGUUAAUACCCCGGGGGGAUGACGGUACCUGAAGAAUAAGCACCGGCUAACUACGUGCCAGCAGCCGCGGUAAUACGUAGGGUGCAAGCGUUAAUCGGAAUUACUGGGCGUAAAGCGUGCGCAGGCGGUUUUGUAAGACAGAGGUGAAAUCCCCGGGCUCAACCUGGGAACUGCCUUUGUGACUGCAGGGCUUGAGUGCGGCAGAGGGGGAUGGAAUUCCGCGUGUAGCAGUGAAAUGCGUAGAUAUGCGGAGGAACACCGAUGGCGAAGGCAAUCCCCUGGGCCUGCACUGACGCUCAUGCACGAAAGCGUGGGGAGCAAACAGGAUUAGAUACCCCGGUAGUCCAA